GUAGGGAUACCCGCUGAACUUAA
rnacentral:rRNA from 2 species